rnacentral:ncRNA from 1 species
CUAGUCUUUUCCCGUCGCUGCAAAUUCAGCGGCCGGGCCUGGAAACCCGAUGA